rnacentral:lncRNA from 1 species
GGAUCUCUGAACAUUUUGCAUGGAAAAUUUUUUUCUGUAUCACUUGUAAUACUGCUGAAUCUUAAGGAAUUUUCUGGUAUUUCAAAUUUUGUAAAAAUUUGUGGACCUGUGUUUCUUUAACAAAUUUUAGGGAUAGAUACUACCCUAAAAUUAUUAGAAUAACUAGAAAUGUUAGAUAUUAGGAUAUUAGGAAAAUGUUGAAAACAAUGAAGAGAAGUAUUUAGC